GAUGAACGCUGGCGGCGUGCUUAACACAUGCAAGUCGAACGGUGAACGAGGGAGCUUGCUCCCUCCGGAUCAGUGGCGAACGGGUGAGUAACACGUGAGCAAUCUGCCCUGGACUCUGGGAUAAGCGUUGGAAACGACGUCUAAUACCGGAUACGAGGCGUGGGGGCAUCCCCAACGCCUGGAAAGAACUUCGGUCCAGGAUGAGCUCGCGGCCUAUCAGCUAGUUGGUGAGGUAACGGCUCACCAAGGCGACGACGGGUAGCCGGCCUGAGAGGGUGACCGGCCACACGGGGACUGAGACACUGCCCAGACUCCUACGGGAGGCAGCAGUGGGGAAUAUUGCACAAUGGGCGCAAGCCUGAUGCAGCAACGCCGCGUGAGGGACGACGGCCUUCGGGUUGUAAACCUCUUUUAGCAGGGAAGAAGCGAAAGUGACGGUACCUGCAGAAAAAGCACCGGCUAACUACGUGCCAGCAGCCGCCGUAAUAC
rnacentral:rRNA from 1 species